rnacentral:rRNA from 1 species
GAUGAACGCUAGCGGCAGGCCUAAUACAUGCAAGUCGGACGGGAUUCAGGAGCUUGCUUCUGAUGAGAGUGGCGCACGGGUGCGUAACACGUAUGUAACCUACCUUUAUCAGGGGGAUAGCCUCUCGAAAGAGAGAUUAAGCCCGCAUAAAAUCACAGCACAGCAUUGUGUAAUGAUCAAAUAUUUAUAGGAUAAAGAUGGGCAUGCGGAACAUUAGCUAGAUGGCGGGGUAACGGCCCACCAUGGCGACGAUGUUUAGGGGAUCUGAGAGGAUGGCCCCCCACACUGGUACUGAGACACGGACCAGACUCCUACGGGAGGCAGCAGUAAGGAAGAUUGGUCAAUGGGCGGAAGCCUGAACCAGCCAUGCCGCGUGCAGGAAGACGGCCCUACGGGUUGUAAAUUGCUUUUAUACGGGAAUAAACCCAGAUACGUGUAUCUGGCUGAAUGUACUGUAAGAAUAAGGAUCGGCUAACUCCGUG